rnacentral:rRNA from 1 species
GAUGAACGCUGGCGGCGUGCUUAACACAUGCAAGUCGAGCGGAGUAACCCGACAGAAAUUUUCGAAUGGAUGUCGGACUUACUUAGCGGCGGACGGGUGAGUAACGCGUGGGCAACCUGCCCUGUACAGAGGAAUAACAUUGGGAAACCAGUGCUAAUACCUCAUGACUCCUCCGGGUGGCAUCACCUGGAGGAGAAAGAUUUAUCGGUACAGGAUGGGCCCGCGUCUGAUUAGUUAGUUGGUGAGGUAAGGGCUCACCAAGACGAUGAUCAGUAGCCGACCUGAGAGGGUGAUCGGCCACACUGGAACUGAGACACGGUCCAGACUCCUACGGGAGGCAGCAGUGGGGAAUAUUGCACAAUGGGGGAAACCCUGAUGCAGCAACGCCGCGUGAGCGAUGAAGGCCUUCGGGUCGUAAAGCUCUGUCCUAAGGGAAGAUAGUGACGGUACCUUAGGAGGAAGCCCCGGCUAACUACGUGCCAGCAGCCGCGGUAAUACGUAGGGGGCAAGCGUUAUCCGGAAUUACUGGGCGUAAAGGGUGCGUAGGCGGUCAAAUAAGUCAGGGGUGAAAGACUAUCGCUCAACGAUAGCAAGCCUUUGAAACUAUUUGACUUGAGUGCAGGAGAGGAGAGUGGAAUUUCUAGUGUAGCGGUGAAAUGCGUAGAUAUUAGAAGGAACACCAGUGGCGAAGGCGACUCUCUGGACUGCAACUGACGCUGAGGCACGAAAGCGUGGGGAGCAAACAGGAUUAGAUACCCUGGUAGUCCACGCCGUAAACGAUGAGUGCUAGGUGUCGGGGGUCAAACCUCGGUGCCGGAGCUAACGCAAUAAGCACUCCGCCUGGGGAGUACGCUCGCAAGAGUAAAACUCAAAGGAAUUGACGGGGACCCGCACAAGCAGCGGAGCAUGUGGUUUAAUUCGAAGCAACGCGAGACCUUACCUAAACUUGACAUCCUUCUGAAAGAGCCUUAAUCGGGUUCCCUCCUUCGGGACAGA